rnacentral:rRNA from 2 species
GUCUAUGCUCGUACUACCUUAGAACCGCCCAGUCCCGUCUGAUCGCGGAAACUAAGCAGGCUCGGUUUUGGCCAGUACUCAGAUGGGAGACUGCGCGGGCAUACCUAGCGUUGUAGGUC